CCUACGGGUGGCAGCAGUGAGGAAUAUUGGUCAAUGGACGCAAGUCUGAACCAGCCAUGCCGCGUGCAGGAUGACGGCUCUAUGAGUUGUAAACUGCUUUUGUACGAGGGUAAACCCCGAUACGUGUAUCGGGUUGCACGUAUCGUACGAAUAAGGAUCGGCUAACUCCGUGCCAGCAGCCGCGGUAAUACGGAGGAUCCGAGCGUUAUCCGGAUUUGUUGGGUUUAAGGGGUGCGUAGGCGGUUUGAUAAGUUAGAGGGGAAAGGUCGGGGCUAAAGCCGCAAACUGCCUGUAAUACGUUGGGACUAGAAAAUAGUUGGGGGGGGCGAAAGGUAUGGUGAACGGGGAAAAUGCU
rnacentral:rRNA from 1 species